AUACGUAGGGUGCGAGCGUUGUCCGGAAUUACUGGGCGUAAAGAGCUCGUAGGUGGUUUGUCGCGUCGUCUGUGAAAUUCCGGGGCUUCACUCCGGGCGUGCAGGCGAUACGGGCAUACCUUGAGUACUGUAGGGGGAGACUGGAAUUCCUGGUGUAGCGGUGAAAUGCGCAGAUAUCAGGAGGAACACCGGGGGCGAAGGCGGGUCUCUGGGCAGUAACUGACGCUGAGGAGCGAAAGCAUGGGUAGCGAACAGGAUUAGAUACCCUGGUAGUCCAUGCCGUAAACGGUGGGCGCUAGGUGUAGGGGUCUUCCACGACUUCUGCGCCGUAGCUAACGCAUUAAGCGCCCCGCCUGGGGAGUACGGCCGCAAGGCUAAAACUCAAAGGAAUUGACGGGG
rnacentral:rRNA from 1 species